rnacentral:rRNA from 1 species
AUUGAACGCUGGCGGCAGGCUUAACACAUGCAAGUCGAGCGGAGCGGCGGCCGGGUGAGUAAUGCUUAGGACUCUGCCUAUUAGUGGGGGACAACAUCUCGAAAGGGAUGCUAAUACCGCCUACUAAUAGAUGAGCCUAAGUCGGAUUAGCUAGUUGGGGGGGUAAAGGCAUACCAAGGCGAAGAUCUGUAGCGGGUCUGAGAGGAUGAUCCGCCACACUGGGACUUAGACACGGCCCAGACUCCUGAGGGAGGCAGCAGUGGGGAUUAUUGGACAAUGGGGGGAACACUGAUCCAGCCAGGCCUCGUGUGUGAAGAGGGCCUUAUGGUUGUAAAGCACUUUAGGCGAGGAGUCGUUACUCGCAGAAUAAGCACCGGCUAACUCUGUGCCAGCAGCCGCGGUAAGAC